rnacentral:lncRNA from 1 species
GGAAAUGUUGGUUCUUCUAGUGUUUUAUUGGCUGAACCUCAUGCCUUAAAGCACUUCCACCCAUUUUGCAUGACAAAAUGCAAGGGGGGUUCUUAUUUAUUUUUAUUAUUUUUUUUUUGAGUAUUUAAACUGACCGCUGAUAUCACAUUGACGUCAGCUUGCUGAGGCAGGAGCUCAAGCAAGUUUUGCAUUUGGACUUGCCUAGUUUCAUGGAGCCCAUUUC